rnacentral:rRNA from 1 species
GAUGAACGCUGGCGGCGUGCCUAACACAUGCAAGUCGAACGGGUGUGGUAUCAGGGAAAAGGGGUUUACUUCUUUGACCAGAUAACACACUAGUGGCGGACGGGUGAGUAACGCGUGGAUAACCUGCCUUAUACAGGGGGAUAACAGGGAGAAAUUCUUGCUAAUACCCCAUAGGUAUGUCUGACGCAUGUUGGACAUAUUAAAGCUUUGGCGGUAUAAGAUGGGUCCGCGUCUGAUUAGCUAGUUGGUGGGGUAAAGGCCCACCAAGGCGACGAUCAGUAGCCGGCUUGAGAGAGUGGACGGCCACAUUGGGACUGAGACACGGCCCAAACUCCUACGGGAGGCAGCAGUGGGGAAUAUUGCACAAUGGGGGAAACCCUGAUGCAGCGACGCCGCGUGAAGGAAGAAGGUCUUCGGAUCGUAAACUUCUAUCAGCAGGGAAGAAGGAAGUGACAGUACCUGAGUAAGAAGCCCCGGCUAACUACGUGCCAGCAGCCGCGGUAAUAGUCACG